UUGACCUCAAAUCAGGUAGGACUACCCGCUGAACUUAAGCAUAUCAAUAAGCGGAGGAAAAGAAACUAACAAGGAUUCCCCUAGUAACUGCNAGUGAAGUGGGAAAAGCUCAAAUUUAAAAUCUGACAGUCUUUGACUGUCUGAGUUGUAACCUANANAAGUGCUACCUGUGCUGGACCAUGUAUAAGUCUCCUGGAAUGGAGU
rnacentral:rRNA from 1 species